rnacentral:rRNA from 1 species
UGAAUACGAGAUGCUACGGCGUCGAAGCAGUGUAUGUCAGACUUCCAAGAAAAGCUCGCAAUGUCAUAAAUAAAGAAUGCCUGUACCAUAACCGACACAGGUGGGUAGGUAGAGUAUACUAAGGGGCGCGAGAUAACUCUCUCUAAGGAACUCGGCAAAAUAACUCCGUAACUUCGGGAGAAGGAGUGCCUUCUUUAAGAAGGUUGCAAUAACAAGAUCCAAGCAACUGUUUAUCAAAAACACAGGUCUCCGCUAAGUCGUAAGACGAUGUAUGGGGGCUGACGCCUGCCCAGUGCCAGAAGGUUAAAGAAGUUGGUUAGCUUUUGCGAAGCUGAUGACUGAAGCCCUGGUGAACGGCGGCCGUAACGAUAACGGUCCUAAGGUAGCGAAAUUCCUUGUCGGGUAAGUUCCGACCCGCACGAAAGGCGUAAUGAUUUGGAUACUGUCUCGGAGAGGGACUCGGUGAAAUAGACUUGUCUGUGAAGAUGCGGACUACCUGCACCAGGACAGAAAGACCCUAUGAAGCUUUACUGUAACUUGAAAUUGAAAUUGGACUUUAUUUGCGCAGUAUAGGUGGAAGGCGUUGAAAGUAAUCUUGCGGGAUUAGUGGAGCCAUCAGUGAGAUACCACUCCUAUAAUGUUAGAUUUCUAACUUUGUAUCAUGAUCUGGUCAAAGAACAGUUUCAGGCGGGCAGUUUGACUGGGGCGGUCGCCUCCCAAAUGGUAACGGAGGCGUACAAAGGUUUCCUCUGAACGGGUAGAAAUCGUAUCUAGAGUGUAAAGGCAUAAGGAAGCUUGACUGUGAGACCUACAAGUCGAGCAGGGACGAAAGUCGGUCUUAGUGAUCUGACGGUGCUGAGUGGAAAGGCCGUCACUCAACGGAUAAAAGUUACUCUAAGGAUAACAGGCUGAUCUCCCCCAAGAGUUCACAUCGACGGGGAGGUUUGGCACCUCGAUGUCGGCUCAUCGCAUCCUGGGGCGGUAGUACGUCCCAAGGGUUGGGCUGUUCGCCCAUGAAAGCGGUACGCGAGCUGGGUUCAGAACGUCGUGAGACAGUUCGGUCCAUAUCCGGUGUAGGCGUUAGAAUAUUGAGAGGAGCCUUCUUUAGUACGAGAGGACCGAGAAGGACAUACCUCUGGUGUACCAGUUAUCGUGCCAACGGUAAACGCUGGGUAGCUAUGUAUGGAGAGGAUAACCGCUGAAAGCAUCUAAGUGGGAAGCCCACCUCAAGAUGAG